rnacentral:sRNA from 1 species
GUCGUGCUCUCCUACACAUCCCGAAUUAUUGUGCUCGUCGAUGCCAGGAACAUUUGGUUAAACCGAACCGUAACCCGCGUCAUUAACAGCGCCAUCUGUGGAUUCUACGGCUGCACCGCAUCGAUUCUCACCAUCCAUUUCAUGUAUCGCUACGGAUCCUUGCAAAUGUAACAUAUUUCUCUUUUACCUAAAUUUUUAGAAUUAUGAAAAUUCAGGGCUACGAGCAGCAUAUUCGAAGGCUGGAAGUUCAUACUUCUAUGCCUUCUCCCAGUUUGCUAUGGGAUCAUUUGGAGCACCACAGUAUUCUUCGUUUUUCCAGAGGAUCCCGGAUUCUCGGAGCUUAUCAGGUAUUGAUAGCAAGUGAUAUAAGUCCUAAGAACUAUGAUUAUUCAGAAACGAUAUGUGGGACUUUUUUGGAAUCCACGUGGAGGAUGUUGUAUACACCGGGAUGUAUUACUACAAGGAGGACAAGUACAGGUUGUAUGGGUUCGAAUUUUUGGCAUGCUUCGGAAUGUUCAUCCUUUGCUUUAUAAUAG